CUUCUACCCACCCGUGACGCCGUCCACCUCCUUUGUGUCUCAAGCAAUUAUCUAAACAGUGUACCCUACCGCCUUCAAUGUGACCUUCUAGAACAGAACAGCUUGACUUUUGUUUUUGACUCUUUUAGCUUAGAGGGAAAGAAAAAGAUGAAGCCCUAAGGACUUUUAGCGGUGGCGGAGAGAUAGCUCUGCUCAACGGUCUAGCUCUGGGAGUUUGUUGAUUUUAAAGUGAACAUUGAAAAGACUAAGCAGGAGCCCACGGACUUGCUUCUAAAAAGGGAAAUUUGAGCCUCCUGAGAACCCUUCGUCGUUGAUGUCACUGAGGAAUGGAAGGAAACAGAUUUCUUCCUGGUGUAGUUUCCAUUUUUCUUCAACCUAGAACCGUGGAUACUAUGCAUAUCUAUAGACAAGUUUGGAUUGUACUGAGACUGCAUCGUAACCCACAAGUGCUGAGCACCUAGGAGAAAAGGUUUGGCUUUUAGGAUCAGGCCUACAAGAACACCCAGUAGUCCUGCAGAAAUGGGCAUUCUCCCCCUUCUGCUCAGGAAGACCUGCAAAGUCCACCUGCCAGCCAUCAUCCCAAGGAAAGCAGGAGAUGGCUCCCUAAACCAGGAGGGCACCAGGAGAGUGUGAGAUUUUGUUCUCCUCGGGGUUAUUUCUA